GGUAGAUACAUUAUAUAAAAGAUAUAAUUUGGAGAAUGUGUGAUAGUAGUUCAAACUAGAAUGCGUUUCGUCCGUAGCCUAAUUAAUUUGGCGGUACAAACCGCCCAAUCAGGCAGCGCCACCUGCCCGUCCGCCAUGUUCUGACCUCAGCUAAUCACUGACCAACUGAGAACAACUGAAGCGAAGCCGAUAUGGAACGUAAACUGUGAUUCUGAAAAAAGUAUAAAGGCUGUGGUCUAUGGAGUUUGAAUGGUUCCUUCUCAGCCCUAGACCAGCGCCACCUCUUCCACCAACACCGGGUUGGAGCCGCGGUCUGCGCUGAGGAACGGUCCUCUGGUGGACGGCGGCCGCGGCACCAGGAAGCAAUAGAGAUGUCUUUCGCCAAGAUAAGGAUUACGCCGUCGCAGCAGUCGGUCCUGCGGGCCUCCGAUGCAGCCGCAGCCUUCACCGCCGCCAUGGGGCCACGCGGGCCCCAGGCUCCCGCCAGCGCCAAGAGGCCGGAGGAGGUGGAGAAGGAGGCCCGAGUUGUUUGCUGUAUAUAUUUAUCAUUUUGCAGGGCUAGUUUAUAUAGUUUUUUUUUUGUUGUUCAGUGCAUACACACAGCCAAUUUAUUUCUUUUAUUUUAUUUAAUUUAUUUUCUUAUUGCAUUUGAAUGAAUAAAAUAAAAUAUAUUCUCCUUCUACGCAA
ensembl:lncRNA